UGCAGUCGAACGGUAACAUUUCUAGCUUGCUAGAAGAUGACGAGUGGCGGACGGGUGAGUAAUGCUUGGGAACUUGCCAUUGGGAGGGGGAUAACAGUUGGAAACGACUGCUAAUACCGCAUAACGUCUUUGGACCAAAGGGGGCUUUUAGCUCUCGCCUGAUGAGAGGCCCAAGUGAGAUUAGCUAGUUGGUGAGGUAAAGGCUCACCAAGGCGACGAUCUCUAGCUGUUCUGAGAGGAAGAUCAGCCACACUGGGACUGAGACACGGCCCAGACUCCUACGGGAGGCAGCAGUGGGGAAUAUUGCACAAUGGGGGCAACCCUGAUGCAGCCAUGCCGCGUGUGUGAAGAAGGCCUUCGGGUUGUAAAGCACUUUCAGGUGUGAGGAAAGGGUGAUGGUUAAUACCCAUCAUCUGUGACGUUAACACCAGAAGAAGCACCGGCUAACUCCGUGCCAGCAGCCGCGGUAAUACGGAGGGUGCGAGCGUUAAUCGGAAUUACUGGGCGUAAAGCGCACGCAGGCGGUUUGUUAAGCUAGAUGUGAAAGCCCCGGGCUCAACCUGGGAGGGUCAUUUAGAACUGGCAGACUAGAGUCUUGGAGAGGGGAGUGGAAUUCCACGUGUAGCGGUGAAAUGCGUAGAUAUGUGGAGGAACAUCAGUGGCGAAGGCGACUCCCUGGCCAAAGACUGACGCUCAUGUGCGAAAGUGUGGGUAGCGAACAGGAUUAGAUACCCUGGUAGUCCACACCGUACACGCUGUCUACUAGCUGUGUGUGAUUUUAAAUCGUGCGUAGCGAA
rnacentral:rRNA from 1 species